rnacentral:lncRNA from 1 species
GUCUAUGUAUUAUUGUAACAUUAUUCAUAAUAAUAUCACAAUAAUCUUCCUUUAUUAAUGAAUGAUGAUCAUCUUUGGCCAAAAGGCCAACAAAGAUUACAUUCAUCAUAAAUAAUGGACAAUAGUAACAAUUACUCUAAAUGAUAAUAUUUGAAAAUAAGCUCUACAAUUCUUAAUGUUAGUAUUGGAAUAAGACUUCCAUCCGUAACAUUCAAAAAUUUCUCACUAUUUUCAAACAUUCUGCUUACUUAUAGUCCUAACAAUAAAUUGCAUAAGACCAUCAGUANNNNNNNNNNNNNNNNNNNNAUCACUGUCUAAUAGCGAUUGGAGCAAUUAAGGUUUAGCCUUAUUUUGAGAAAAGAGAACAAUGACCUAAUGUAUAUGAAUUAUUUUAAGCUUAGAGACUUGGACUUUAGUCUCAAGGUUCUCCCACUAUUUUGUUCAAAUUGGUAGCCUCUACCUCUAAUUUGAAAAAUUACUUUAAUUUUCUAGUAGGUACUAGAAUCCACAUAGACUACAGAUAAGUCAGACUUUGGUCGGCCAACCCAUCUGCAUCUACGGGUAGGUUUAUUAACUAAUUAUUUCUCCAAACAACUUCUAGUAAUUUAAUUUUAUCCCAGAAACCUAAUCAGUAGGCUUUGGCCUCCACUGUAAGGAUCCGAUUAGGUCCAACCUUUAACAUGACCAUACUUGGUGCAUCUAACCAACGAAUGAUUAAGUCCAACUUUGAUUGGCUAACCUAACCACCAUUAGAGAGACACUUCCAAGUCAUCAUAUGAUGAGUGAUAAUUCCAUUAGUCAACAAGCACCAGGCCUUUGGGUCUGCAAUGAUUAUUGAGUUAAUGGACUCAUUAUCAAACAUCUUAAUGGGAGGCUAUGACUCAGUUAUCUCCAUAACUUUAUCAUUUUAAGGACCUAAUAAUUUUAAAAGAUUUAAAAUUAUUAGUAAUUUAAGGAUAGAAAGGAUAUGGACCAAUUUGCUCCCACUGACUUCAUCAAGUCAAGUCCUCCCACUGACUCCUCA